rnacentral:rRNA from 1 species
UACAGAGGUUGCAAACGUUGUUCGGAAUCACUGGGCAUAAAGCGCACGUAGGCGGUCUGUUAAGUCAGGUGUGAAAGCCCCGGGCUCAACCUGGGAACUGCAUUUGAAACUGGCGGGCUUGAGUGUGGCAGAGGGGGGUGGAAUUCCGCGUGUAGCAGUGAAAUGCGUAGAGAUGCGGAGGAACACCGAUGGCGAAGGCAGCCCCCUGGGCCAACACUGACGCUCAGGCACGAAAGCGUGGGGAGCAAACAGG